ACAGAUAGACCGAUCUCUCUCGGCUUGAAGCAGGGCCGCCUCUAUGCCGGAGCCAAAAGGGAACACCACCUGAACGACGCCUCUCGCCAUGGGAAGCCACUACAGCCCCACAGCCGCACAGAACAACACAUGCACACACCCCUCCCCACACCAGCAACGAGCCGUGGAGAGGAGAGCAACGCGCACGGUGGUGGGCGGGGCGUGCCUCAGGGACGUUACAACUCGCCGAGGUUGGCGGCGGCGCCAUUUUGAACUGGCUGAGGGUCGGGGUCGGUGGUGGCUGGAGGAAGCUUUGCGUUCUCCGAGAAAGCCAGUGAAGAGGGAGCGAGUUCUGAAUAUGGCAGCGAAUAGGAACUUGAAGCAAGUGCGGAUCGAGAAUAGCUCCCCAGCGGCGCCGCUGGGUAUGGUGGGGGGCGGUGGUGGCGGCAGCGGCAACCUGAAGGGAUUGCGGGGCCUAGAAACAGAGAGUGAGCCAGCGGCGGCCAUGGCGCUAGUGCCGAGCAAAGAAGGUGGAGAUGAAGAGCAGGAGGUUGGGUUCACCAUCGAUAUUAAAAGCUUCCUCAAACCUGGCGAGAAGAGCUACACACAACGCUGCAGGCUGUUCGUGGGGAAUCUGCCUACCGAUAUCACAGAGGAAGAUUUCAAGCGCCUCUUUGAGCGCUAUGGGGAGCCUAGCGAGGUCUUCAUCAACCGGGACCGUGGCUUUGGCUUCAUUCGCCUGGAAUCUAGGACACUGGCUGAAAUAGCAAAGGCGGAACUUGACGGUACUAUUUUGAAGAGCAGACCACUUCGAAUUCGAUUUGCUACACAUGGAGCUGCCCUAACAGUCAAGAAUCUGUCACCUGUGGUUUCUAAUGAGCUGCUGGAACAAGCAUUCUCUCAAUUUGGGCCAGUGGAAAGAGCUGUUGUUGUAGUAGAUGAUCGUGGCAGAGCUACAGGAAAAGGUUUCGUAGAGUUUGCAGCAAAACCUCCAGCUCGAAAAGCUCUAGAAAGAUGCAGUGAUGGGGCAUUCUUGCUAACGACAACACCUCGACCUGUUGUUGUAGAACCAAUGGAGCAAUUUGAUGAUGAAGAUGGACUUCCGGAGAAGCUAAUGCAAAAAACACAACAGUAUCACAAGGAAAGAGAACAGCCUCCACGUUUUGCUCAGCCUGGAACAUUUGAGUUUGAGUAUGCUUCACGGUGGAAGGCUCUUGAUGAGAUGGAAAAGCAACAGCGUGAACAGGUUGACAGGAACAUUAGAGAAGCCAAAGAGAAACUAGAGGCAGAAAUGGAAGCAGCUAGACAUGAGCAUCAGCUAAUGCUGAUGAGGCAAGAUCUCAUGCGACGUCAAGAAGAAUUGAGGCGUUUGGAAGAACUUCGAAAUCAAGAACUUCAAAAACGCAAGCAGAUCCAAUUGAGACAUGAGGAAGAACAUCGACGUCGUGAAGAAGAGAUGAUGCGGCAGAGAGAACAGGAGGAAUUACGACGACAGCAGGAGGGAGGAUUCAAACCAAAUUUCAUGGACAAUGUUACUGUUAAAAUCUUAAAAUGCAGAUGAAUGACUGGCUCAUGCAGAAUCCUGCUAUCUUACACAUACAACAGGAAAUCUAAAGAAAGUUUUGUACAAGCUCUGAAAUCGAUCAGCAUCCAGUUCUGUUCUACAGAAAAUGUGCUGGGCUACAACCUCCUUCAUGAUGAAUCCAAACUGUGCUGUUGGGCUGCUGCAGAGUGCUGGAGAAUUCCAGAUGGGUCUGCCCUGUAAGGACUGGGCCAUGGCACAGUUUGAAAGGAUGGGAGGAUUCAUGUGGAAUGUGUGCCACCUACACCUGGGACUAGGAAAGACACAUAAGAACCUGCAAAGGGCAUCUGCCUGCAGGAUUUAAUAUGCUUAUUCCUGGAUGAGCCAGAUGAGCCAACACAUUCCAGGUAGUGAACACAGACCCAGGGCCUGACAGAAACCUCACCAAGUUCAGAAAAGGCAGAUGUAAGGUCUGCAGAGGGCACUGCAUUAACCAGUGCUGUGAUGCACUCUGGGCAGACAAGCUUUCCUCUCUGUUCAGUGUUCUGGGACUGCGGCUGGAGUGCUGUGACCGGUUCUGGGUUCCUGACCACCAGACAUGUGGGAACAGUCACCAUGAUGGUCAGGAGGUUAAGCCCAGGAGCCAUAGGGUUUGUUAUCUGGAGCUCAGGCCAGGAGAUCAUCUUGCAUCAGCUAUCUAAUGGAAGGGGGGUAGAGAAGAUGGAGCCAGGCUCACCUUAGCAGUGCACAGUAGUGAGGAAAUUGUGUAUAAUUAUUGGUGUAUCCCAACAUUGUAUCACACCAGUAAUAAAACCUGUGCAAUCAGUAA